rnacentral:rRNA from 1 species
ACGCUCGACACCUACGGGGGGCAGCAGUGGGGAAUAUUGCACAAUGGGGGAAACCCUGAUGCAGCGACGCCGCGUGAGCGAAGAAGUAUUUCGGUAUGUAAAGCUCUAUCAGCAGGGAAGAAACUGACGGUACCUGACUAAGAAGCACCGGCUAAAUACGUGCCGCAGCCGCGGUAAUCUGAGCGGGCUGGCAAGGC